rnacentral:rRNA from 1 species
GGCCCUUCGGGGUACUCGAGUGGCGAACGGGUGAGUAACACGUGGGCAAUCUGCCCUGCACACUGGGAUAAGCCUGGGAAACUGGGUCUAAUACCGGAUAGGACCACUUGGCGCAUGCCUUGUGGUGGAAAGCUUUUGCGGUGUGGGAUGGGCCCGCGGCCUAUCAGCUUGUUGGUGGGGUGACGGCCUACCAAGGCGACGACGGGUAGCCGGCCUGAGAGGGUGUCCGGCCACACUGGGACUGAGAUACGGCCCAGACUCCUACGGGAGGCAGCAGUGGGGAAUAUUGCACAAUGGGCGCAAGCCUGAUGCAGCGACGCCGCGUGGGGGAUGACGGCCUUCGGGUUGUAAACCUCUUUCACCAUCGACGAAGGUCCGGGUUGUCUCGGAUUGACGGUAGGUGGAGAAGAAGCACCGGCCAACUACGUGCCAGCAGCCGCGGUAAUACGUAGGGUGCGAGCGUUGUCCGGAAUUACUGGGCGUAAAGAGCUCGUAGGUGGUUUGUCGCGUUGUUCGUGAAAUCUCACGGCUUAACUGUGAGCGUGCGGGCGAUACGGGCAGACUAGAGUACUGCAGGGGAGACUGGAAUUCCUGGUGUAGCGGUGGAAUGCGCAGAUAUCAGGAGGAACACCGGUGGCGAAGGCGGGUCUCUGGGCAGUAACUGACGCUGAGGAGCGAAAGCGUGGGGAGCGAACAGGAUUAGAUACCCUGGUAGUCCACGCCGUAAACGGUGGGUACUAGGUGUGGGUUUCCUUCCUUGGGAUCCGUGCCGUAGCUAACGCAUUAAGUACCCCGCCUGGGGAGUACGGCCGCAAGGCUAAAACUCAAAGGAAUUGACGGGGGCCCGCACAAGCGGCGGAGCAUGUGGAUUAAUUCGAUGCAACGCGAAGAACCUUACCUGGGUUUGACAUGCACAGGACGCGUCUAGAGAUAGGCGUUCCCUUGUGGCCUGUGUGCAGGUGGUGCAUGGCUGUCGUCAGCUCGUGUCGUGAGAUGUUGGGUUAAGUCCCGCA